GGUAAUGCCGGAUGCUCCAGUUGAUCGCAUGGUCUUCUGGGAAAGCCUUUGCGGCAUGGGAUGGGGUCGCGUCCUAUCAGCUUGAUGGCGGGGUAACGGCCCACCAUGGCUUCGACGGGUAGCCGGCCUGAGAGGGCGACCGGCCACAUUGGGACUGAGAUACGGCCCAGACUCCUACGGGAGGCAGCAGUGGGGAAUAUUGCACAAUGGGCGCAAGCCUGAUGCAGCGACGCCGCGUGAGGGAUGGAGGCCUUCGGGUUGUAAACCUCUUUUGUUAGGGAGCAAGGCAUUUUGUGUUGAGUGUACCUUUCGAAUAAGCACCGGCUAACUACGUGCCAGCAGCCGCGGUAAUACGUAGGGUGCAAGCGUUAUCCGGAAUUAUUGGGCGUAAAGGGCUCGUAGGCGGUUCGUCGCGUCCGGUGUGAAAGUCCAUCGCUUAACGGUGGAUCCGCGCCGGGUACGGGCGGGCUUGAGUGCGGUAGGGGAGACUGGAAUUCCCGGUGUAACGGUGGAAUGUGUAGAU
rnacentral:rRNA from 1 species